rnacentral:rRNA from 1 species
GUACGUACAAGCAGUGGGAGCACAGGUUUACCUGUGUGACUGCGUACCUUUUGUAUAAUGGGUCAGCGACUUAUAUUCUGUAGCAAGGUUAACCGAAUAGGGGAGCCGGAGGGAAACCGAGUCUUAAUUGGGCGUUAAGUUGCAGGGUAUAGACCCGAAACCCGGUGAUCUAGCCAUGGGCAGGUUGAAGGUUGGGUAACACUAACUGGAGGACCGAACCGACUAAUGUUGAAAAAUUAGCGGAUGACCUGUGGCUGGGGGUGAAAGGCCAAUCAAACCGGGAGAUAGCUGGUUCUCCCCGAAAGCUAUUUAGGUAGCGCCUCGUGAAUUCAUCUCCGGGGGUAGAGCACUGUUUCGGCUAGGGGGCCAUCCCGGCUUACCAACCCGAUGCAAACUGCGAAUACCGGAGAAUGUUAUCACGGGAGACACACGGCGGGUGCUAACGUCCGUCGUGAAGAGGGAAACAACCCAGACCGCCAGCUAAGGUCCCAAAGUCAUGGUUAAGUGGGAAACGAUGUGGGAAGGCCCAGACAGCCAGGAUGUUGGCUUAGAAGCAGCCAUCAUUUAAAGAAAGCGUAAUAGCUCACUGGUCGAGUCGGCCUGCGCGGAAGAUGUAACGGGGCUAAACCAUGCACCGAAGCUGCGGCAGCGACGCUUAUGCGUUGUUGGGUAGGGGAGCGUUCUGUAAGCCUGUGAAGGUGGCCUGUGAGGGUUGCUGGAGGUAUCAGAAGUGCGAAUGCUGACAUAAGUAACGAUAAAGCGGGUGAAAAGCCCGCUCGCCGGAAGACCAAGGGUUCCUGUCCAACGUUAAUCGGGGCAGGGUGAGUCGACCCCUAAGGCGAGGCCGAAAGGCGUAGUCGAUGGGAAACGGGUUAAUAUUCCCGUACUUGGUGUUACUGCGAAGGGGGGACGGAGAAGGCUAUGUUGGCCGGGCGACGGUUGUCCCGGUUUAAGCGUGUAGGUGUGUGUUCCAGGUAAAUCCGGUUCACUUUAACACUGAGGCGUGAUGACGAGGCACUACGGUGCUGAAGUAACAAAUGCCCUGCUUCCAGGAAAAGCCUCUAAGCAUCAGGUAACAUCAAAUCGUACCCCAAACCGACACAGGUGGUCAGGUAGAGAAUACCAAGGCGCUUGAGAGAACUCGGGUGAAGGAACUAGGCAAAAUGGUGCCGUAACUUCGGGAGAAGGCACGCUGACAC